AGGGCAAGUCUGGUGCCAGCAGCCGCGGUAAUUCCAGCUCCAAUAGCGUAUAUUAAAGUUGUUGCAGUUAAAAAGCUCGUAGUUGAAUUUCGGGGUCAGCAGGUUGGUCGUGCCAAUGGUAUGCACUGGCCUUGCUGAUUCCUCCCUCUUGAUGAGCCGUAAUGCCAUUAAUUUGGUGUUGUGGGGAAUCAGGACUGUUACUUUGAAAAAAUUAGAGUGUUUAAAGCAGGCAAGCGCUUGAAUACAUUAGCAUGGAAUAAUGAAAUAGGACGUUUGAUCCUAUUUUGUUGGUUUCUAGGAUUGACGUAAUGAUUAAUAGGGAUAGUUGGGGGCAUUAGUAUUCAAUUGUCAGAGGUGAAAUUCUAGGAUUUAUUGAAGACUAACUACUGCGAAAGCAUUUGCCAAGGAUGUUUUCAUUAAUCAAGAACGAAAGUUAGGGGAUCGAAGACGAUCAGAUACCGUCGUAGUCUUAACCAUAAACUAUGCCGACUAGGGAUCGGAUGAUGUUAAUUUUUUAAUGACUCAUUCGGCGCCUUACGGGAA
rnacentral:rRNA from 1 species